GAACGCUAGCUACAGGCUUAACACAUGCAAGUCGAGGGGAAACGACAUUGAAAGCUUGCUUUCGAUGGGCGUCGACCGGCGCACGGGUGAGUAACGCGUAUCCAACCUGCCCAUCACUUGGGGAUAACCUUGCGAAAGUAAGACUAAUACCCAAUGACGUCUCUAGAAGACAUCUGAAAGAGAUUAAAGAUUUAUCGGUGAUGGAUGGGGAUGCGUCUGAUUAGCUUGUUGGCGGGGUAACGGCCCACCAAGGCUACGAUCAGUAGGGGUUCUGAGAGGAAGGUCCCCCACAUUGGAACUGAGACACGGUCCAAACUCCUACGGGAGGCAGCAGUGAGGAAUAUUGGUCAAUGGACGAGAGUUUGAACCAGCCAAGUAGCGUGCAGGAUGACGGCCCUAUGGGUUGUAAACUGCUUUUAUAAGGGAAUAAAGUGAGCCUCGUGAGGCUUUUUGCAUGUACCUUAUGAAUAAGGACCGGCUAAUUCCGUGCCAGCAGCCGCGGUAAUACGGAAGGUCCGGGCGUUAUCCGGAUUUAUUGGGUUUAAAGGGAGCGUAGGCCGGAGAUUAAGCGUGUUGUGAAAUGUAGAUGCUCAACAUCUGCACUGCAGCGCGAACUGGUUUCCUUGAGUACGCACAAAGUGGGCGGAAUUCGUGGUGUAGCGGUGAAAUGCUUAGAUAUCACGAAGAACUCCGAUUGCGAGGGCAGCUCACUGGAGCGCAACUGACGCUGAAGCUCGAAAGUGCGGGUAUCGAACAGGAUUAGAUACCCUGGUAGUCCGCACGGUAAACGAUGGAUGCCCGCUGUUGGUCUGAAUAGGUCAGCGGC
rnacentral:rRNA from 1 species